UGGUUGUAGCUAAAUAAAUCGAUCAAUCUCAGAAGUUGUACUAGCCGAUUGUUGUGAGAUUUUCAUCUCUGUCAACAGAUCUGCUUACCGAACUUCUUCUCCAUUU